rnacentral:rRNA from 1 species
UACGUAGGGGGCAAGCGUUGUCCGGAUUUAUUGGGCGUAAAGGACGCGUAGGCGGUUUCUUAAGUUUGGAGUGACAGUGGGUGGCUUAACUACCCAAGGCCUCUGAAAACUGGGGAACUUGAGGACCAGAGAGGGACAUAGAAUUCCGGGUGGAGUGGUGAAAUGCGUAGAUAUCCGGAGGAAUACCAAAGGCGAAGGCAGUGUCCUGGAGGGUGACUGACGCUGAGGCGCGAAAGCUAGGGGAGCGAACAGG